CUACGGAGGGUGCAAGCGUUACUCGGAAUCACUGGGCGUGAAGCGCGCGCAGGCGGCUAUUUAAGUUGGAUGUGAAAGCCUAUGGCUCAACCAUAGAACUGCAUCCAAAACUAUUUAGCUCGAGUGUGGGAGAGGAAGAUGGAAUUAGUUGCGUAGGGGUAAAAUCCGUAGAGAUAACUAGGAAUACCAAAAGCGAAGGCAAUCUUCUGGAACACUACUGACGCUGAGGCGCGAAAGCGUGGGGAGCAAACAGGAUUAGAUACCCUAGUAGUCC
rnacentral:rRNA from 1 species